rnacentral:rRNA from 1 species
UAGGGAAUCUUCGGCAAUGGACGGAAGUCUGACCGAGCAACGCCGCGUGAGUGAAGAAGGUUUUCGGAUCGUAAAGCUCUGUUGUUAGAGAAGAACGUUGGUAGGAGUGGAAAAUCUACCAAGCGACGGUAACUAACCAGAAAGGGACGGCUAACUACGUGCCAGCAGCCGCGGUAAUACGUAGGUCCCGAGCGUUGUCCGGAUUUAUUGGGCGUAAAGCGAGCGCAGGCGGUUCUUUAAGUCUGAAGUUAAAGGCAGUGGCUUAACCAUUGUAAGCUUUGGAAACUGAAGGACUUGAGUGCGGAAGGGGGGAGUGAAAUUCCAUGUAUAGCGGUGAAAUGCGUAGAUAUAUGGAAGAACACCGGUGGCGAAAGCGGCUCUCGGGUCUGUAACUGACGCUGGGGCUCGAAAGCGUGGGGAGCAAACAGG